GUGGGGGAUAUUGCACAAUGGAGGAAACUCUGAUGCAGCGACGCCGCGUGAGUGAAGAAGUAUUUCGGUAUGUAAAGCUCUAUCAGCAGGGAAGAUAAUGACAGUACCUGACUAAGAAGCCCCGGCUAACUACGUGCCAGCAGCCGCGGUAAUACGUAGGGGGCAAGCGUUAUCCGGAUUUACUGGGUGUAAAGGGAGCGUAGACGGAAUGGCAAGUCUGAAGUGAAAUCCUGCGGCUUAACUGCAGAAUUGCUUUGGAAACUGUCAAUCUGGAGUGUUGGAGAGGUAAGCGGAAUUCCUGGUGUAGCGGUGAAAUGCGUAGAUAUCAGGAAGAACACCGGAGGCGAAGGCGACUUACUGGACAAUAACUGACGUUGAGGCUCGAAAGCGUGGGAAGCAAACAGGAUUAGAAACCCUAGUAGUCC
rnacentral:rRNA from 1 species